rnacentral:rRNA from 1 species
UACGUAGGGGCUAGCGUUGUCCGGAAUCAUUGGGCGUAAAGAGCGUGUAGGCGGCUCGGUAAGUCCGCUGUGAAAGUCCAGGGCUCAACCCUGGAAUGCCAGUGGAAACUGUCGAGCUAGAGUCCGGAAGAGGCGAGUGGAAUUCCUGGUGUAGCGGUGAAAUGCGCAGAUAUCAGGAGGAACACCAAUGGCGAAGGCAGCUCGCUGGGACGGUACUGACGCUGAGACGCGAAAGCGUGGGAGCAAACAGG